UCAGUCCUGAAAAAGAGAAAGAAAAGAGGGAAGGGGAAGAAAAAAACAUAGUGACCCUUUAUCAGAUCUUGAAACUUGGCCAAAUGGUGCUUACCAACUUCUACAGGUUGAAAAUGAACAGGAAUUUCUCAAACAAAACUGAUUAAAUAGGACCACCCUCCUGGGCGUGGUGGAGAUGAAAUAUAAGCGUAUAACUUAGCUAUUGUAGCUCAGCCAACUGCAGCUAUUGUAAACACCCCAUGUCAGUAUUAUAAGGGCUGGAAAACAGGCUGGUUUUUUUUGUUUGUUUGUUUUGUUUUUCCAGAGCUAGGGACAAAACCCAGGGCCCAUGCAGGCUAGGCUACCAUUGAGCCAUACCCCAGCACUUUUCAUUUUCUCUUUUGGGACAUGGACUCACUAAGUUGCCCAGGCUUGGCCUCAAUCCUGAAUCCUCCUGCCUCCUCAGUCUUCUGAGUUGCUGCGAUGACAGGCGUGGACACUGCGCCUAGCAGUGGGAGAUGAUUGUAGUGUAGUAGUUGUCAGUUCCUCAGAAGUUGAGAGAAUUCAGCCCCAGGAACAUCACAGGCAUGAAGACAAGUGUCCUCGACCCGUGGGCUGCCGUUACCCAGCCUCUGGCUCAGCAGAGAGAACAGAGUGUUGGCAGGGCUCAGGCACACAGCUGCCACUGCGCGCUCCCAGCACAGGACUUUGUGGGACGUUCACUCAGAGCAGAGAAUGUGCCCCUGUCUCCUGGGAAGAGUGGGCAGAACAAACCCCAGCAUUCUUCCUCACGCCCUGUGCCAAGAGCCACAGCACACACAGUGUCCACUCCAACCACUGGCAAGGGAAGGCCUGUGACUGCAACAACCAGAACCCCCACCCUGGGACAGAGUUGGGGGCCCAGUUCCUCUAAAGCAGCAUCUCCAGAAAGCCAGGACUGAAUGCAUCUUCACAGCACAGUACGAAUGGCAUCUUGAAUAGAGUCUUGUUUCUGUUGUGUUUUUGUUUAUCGCAAAUAUAGAGAAAUGCUAUAUUGACUCAGAAUCACUUUCAAAAAUCAAAAGAAACAGCCAAGCAUGGUGCACACGCCUGUAAUUCCCUGCCCCUCCCCCCCAAAAAAUCAAUAGAAGCACUUUGUUUGUCUUGA